rnacentral:rRNA from 1 species
GUGGGGAAUAUUGGACAAUGGGGGGAACCCUGAUCCAGCCAUGCCGCGUGUGUGAAGAAGGCCUUUUGGUUGUAAAGCACUUUAAGCGAGGAGGAGGCUCUUCUAGUUAAUACCUAGGAUGAGUGGACGUUACUCGCAGAAUAAGCACCGGCUAACUCUGUGCCAGCAGCCGCGGUAAUACAGAGGGUGCGAGCGUUAAUCGGAUUUACUGGGCGUAAAGCGUACGUAGGCGGCUUUUUAAGUCGGAUGUGAAAUCCCUGAGCUUAACUUAGGAAUUGCAUUCGAUACUGGGAAGCUAGAGUAUGGGAGAGGAUGGUAGAAUUCCAGGUGUAGCGGUGAAAUGCGUAGAGAUCUGGAGGAAUACCGAUGGCGAAGGCAGCCAUCUGGCCUAAUACUGACGCUGAGGUACGAAAGCAUGGGGAGCAAACAGGAUUAGAUACCCCGGUAGUCC